GUCGGCUCUGGGCACCUGGCUUUGCAGGGCCAGGCAGGGUGUCGGCUCUGGGCACCCAGCUUCACUGGGCCAGGCUGGGUGUCGGCUCUGGGCACCCGGCUUCGCGGGGCCAGGUGGGGUGUUGUUGUCGGCUCUUGGUGGAGUUUGAUCCAGUUUCCUGCGUUCCUCCUCUUCAGGGUCCCCAGCCCGCACUCGGGCCAGGCUGACCUGUCUCUGUCCUUCCUCUGCAGGGGCUGGCGUCUUCUUCCUGUCCUCGGCCGAGGGGGAGCAGAUCAGCUUCCUGUUCGACUGCAUCGUCCGAGGCAUCUCCCCCACCAAGGGCCCCUUUGGGCUGCGGCCGGUUCUCCCAGACCCAAGUCCCCCGGGACCCUCUACCGUGGAGGAGCGUGUGGCCCAGGAAGCCCUGGAAGCCCUGCAGCUGGAGAAGCGGCUGAGCCUCCUCUCACACGCGGGCAGGCCGGGCAGUGGAGGGGAUGACCGCAGCCUGUCCAGCUCAUCCUCGGAGGCCAGUCACUUGGACGUCAGCGCCAGCAGCCGGCUCACCGCAUGGCCAGAGCAAUCCUCGUCAUCGGCCAGCACGUCGCAGGAGGGGCCUAG
rnacentral:sRNA from 1 species